GACUCUCGGCAACGGAUAUCUCGGCUCUCGCAUCGAUGAAGAACGUAGCGAAAUGCGAUACUUGGUGUGAAUUGCAGAAUCCCGUGAACCAUCGAGUCUUUGAACGCAAGUUGUGCCCCAAGCCAUUAGGCCGAGGGCACGUCUGCCUGGGUGUCA
rnacentral:rRNA from 1 species